AUUCGCUGCUUUCACACAGCUC
rnacentral:piRNA from 1 species